UACGUAGGUGGCAAGCGUUGUCCGGAUUUAUUGGGUUUAAAGGGUGCGUAGGCGGCCUUGUAAGUCAGUGCUGAAAUAUCCCGGCUUAACCGGGAGGGUGGCAUUGAUACUGCAGGGCUUGAGUAAAGUUGAGGUUGGCGGAAUUGACGGUGUAGCGGUGAAAUGCGCAGAUAUCAGGAGGAACACCGGUGGCGAAGGCGGGUCUCUGGGCAACAACUGACGCUGAGGAGCGAAAGCGUGGGGAGCGAACAGG
rnacentral:rRNA from 1 species